rnacentral:pre_miRNA from 1 species
GGUGGAUAGCUGGGUCAAAUGGUAUUCCAUUCCAAGUUUUCUGAGAAAUCUCCAUACUACUUUCCAGAAUGGUUGCACCGAUUUGCAGUCUCACCAGCAAU